rnacentral:rRNA from 1 species
UACGGAGGGUGCGAGCGUUGUCCGGAAUCACUGGGCGUAAAGGGCGCGUAGGCGGCCUGAUAAGUAGGGGGUGAAAUCCUGCGGCUUAACCGCAGGGCUGCCUUCUAAACUGUCAGGCUGGAGCACAGUAGAGGCAGGUGGAAUUCCCGGUGUAGCGGUGGAAUGCGUAGAGAUCGGGAAGAACAUCAGUGGCGAAGGCGGCCUGCUGGGCUGUUGCUGACGCUGAGGCGCGACAGCGUGGGGGAGCA